AGAGAGAGACAUGCGCGCAUAUCAAUAAGCGGAGGAAAAGAAACUAACAAGGAUUCCCCUAGUAACGGCGAGUGAAGCGGGAAGAGCUCAAAUUUGAAAUCUUAAAGGGUUUCCCUUUACGAAUUGUAGUUUAAAGAAGUGUUUUCUGUUGAGGUUUUGGUAAAAGUUCUUUGGAAUAGGACAUCAUAGAGGGUGAGAAUCCCGUAUUUGACCUUUACUUUCAACUUUGUGAUACACUUUCAAAGAGUCGGAUUGUUUGGGAAUGCAGUCCAAAAUGGGUGGUAAAUUUCAUCUAAAGCUAAAUAUUGGCGAGAGACCGAUAGCGAACAAGUACCGUGAGGGAAAGAUGAAAAGGAACUUUGAAAAGAGAGUUAAACAGUACGUGAAAUUGUCAAAAGGGAAGCGUUUGACACCAGUGUUGUUUUUCUGAAAAUCAAUUAAAGAACUGUUUAUGCUAAGUUGUUUAGACUUAUCAGCUAACUGUUUAGUUUUGAGCUUUUCUUUAAUGCACUUUUCAGUUAACAAGUCAACAUCAAUUUCUUUUGCUGUAAAAAAGCUUGAGGAAGGUGGCUUGAGAUUCGUCUUAAGUGUUUAUAGCCUCUUGCCUAUGCAGUCGGAGAGAUUGAGGUCUGCAGCGUAGAUCCUUCGGGGCUAAAUGCAUUUGUGCUAAGUUAUAGCAUUUUAUAGACAACUUGUUGACUAUGAUUUGUCUUGUAGCUUACUCGCUUAUGUUAUUUUACCUACGCUUAGGAUGUUGAGCGCAUGUCUCUCUCU
rnacentral:rRNA from 1 species